rnacentral:lncRNA from 1 species
UUCUCCUCUGACUUGGGCUUAGGCAGGUCCCCAGCUUCUUCUAAAGGACUUUCAGACUUUUCAUCGAUAACAUCUACAACCCCAAGUGCAUCAUCCUUACCAUUUUCAAUAUCAUUCUCCUCAUCAUUCUCAACUUCAUCUCCAUCUGUCAGAUCUCCAUCUCUCACCUCAACUUCACAUCCAUCUUCAUAGUCCAUCUCAUCAAAAGCUUGCAGCUUUCGCUUCUGUGCAUCCAGACCAAAAUCCUUAAGCCCCUUCACCAUCAU